UAGGUCGAGUCUCUGCUUUCCCAGUGUCCGUGAAAGCUCCACUUCCGUCGUUGUCCAAUCACGUUGCUCGGGGCAGGUUUGAACCAGAGGCGCCUGUGUGGAGCUGUAGCUGUAACAGUCCGAUCAACCAGACACCAUGGACGAGGCUUUUCUGGAGAGUUGCCGGGUCAACAACAAGAUCUACAAAGAGUCACUGGACAGAAUCAUAGACAAGUACUCCAAGUUCCAGGACCUCGGCGAAGAGUUUGCAGUGGACCUCAACUGUAUCCACCCCAGACAACUUCAUAAACGAUUGAAGAAGGUAGAAAAUACCCUGUGUGACACAUCAAAGAUCCUGACGGAUUUGGAAGAGACAUCGGACAGCUCACAAGACAACACAAGUGGUUCUCAGCUGGACGCCACACUUGAAGAUGGGGAGAUGUAUGAAAGUGUGUCUUUCAGUCCCGAUCCUGCAGAUGUUUCUGAGAUGUCAGGACAUCAAACCCUGUUGUCUUUAAGCUCAUUGGAAGAUAGUCAGAAAGGUUUUCCAGAUGUUGAGCUCCAGCUGCCCGAGGAGCAGAAUGAGGAGCUCCAAAUGUCCCUGAGCAGUAACGGCAGCUCUUUAAUGGACAUCUAUCCCAGCAUGAUCAACAGGAUUGAGCAGGCCUGGCAUCGGCAGCACGUCUCCCUCACGGCCAACGCCGUAUUGAGGAGGUACCGCAGGUGGAGGAAGCAGUUGAAUAAGAGCACUCUCAACAACUCCUCUGUGGUUUCCAGCACAUCAAGUACUAACAAAAACCCGAAAGAGAUCAAUAACAAAAACAGUCGGCUCAGAAACCCCAGUGGCCCUGUGAUAAGGAGUGCUGCAAAAGAGUCUCUGUUAAAGGCUGUGACUGUUAUACCUUGUAAGCAGAGUCCAAAAAAGCAGUGCCGCCCCAUCACUGUGAUGGACUUCUCUGAUUCUGACAUCUCUAUGAAUGAGACUGUUACAGUGUCUGAGCAGUCUCCCCCUGACCAGAACCAGAGCUACAUCCAGGAGCAUGACACUAAGAGUUCUUUCAGGACAAAAUGCAGGUUUCCUAGUUUCUCCAGCCCCUCACAAAAGCUCUCUGAGUCUGGACCAUCAACGAGUCCAAAAAAGCAGUGCUGCCCCAUCACUGUGAUGGACUUCUCUGAUUCUGACAUCUCUCUGAAUGAGACCUUUUCAGUGUCUGAGCGGUCUCUCCCUGACCAGAACCAGAGCUACAUCCAGGAACAUAAUACUAAGAGUCCUUUCAGGACAAAAUGGCGGUUUUCCAGUUUCUCCAGCCCCUCGCAUAAUCUCUCUGGACCAUCAAAGGCUCCUGAGAUCUCUCUGAACGAGACCAUUACGGUGUCUGAGCAGUCUCUCCCUGACCAGAACCAGAGCUACAUCCAGGAUAUCUUGUAUACAGCUAGUCCUACACACCCUGUCCGCUCGACUGCUAAAGCAUCCAUGAGUCCAAUGCUCAAGUAUAAAAGACUCCAGCCUUUAUCACAGACUGCAGACAUCCCCACUGUAAGGAGGAGCUCUCCUGUAAGACAGAGUCCACUCAAAGUCCAGUUGAUGACCAGCCACAACCAAUCACCUCACAAGUUUAAUAAAACUCCCGUCGUAGAUGUAAUGGAACAUGAUAAUAAGAGUUCUUUCAGGACAAAAUGCAGGUUUCCUAGUUUCUCCAGCCCCUCACAAAAGCUCUCUGAGUCUGGACCAUCAACGAGUCCAAAAAAGCAGUGCUGCCCCAUCACUGUGAUGGACUUCUCUGAUUCUGACAUCUCUCUGAAUGAGACCUUUGCAGUGUCUGAGCGGUCUCCCCCUGACCAGAACCAGAGCUACAUCCAGGAACAUAAUACUAAGAGUCCUUUCAGGACAAAAUGGCGGUUUUCCAGUUUCUCCAGCCCCUCGCAUAAUCUCUCUGGACCAUCAAAGGCUCCUGAGAUCUCUCUGAACGAGACCAUUACGGUGUCUGAGCAGUCUCUCCCUGACCAGAACCAGAGCUACAUCCAGGAUAUCUUGUAUACAGCUAGUCCUACACACCCUGCUAAAGCAUCCAUGAGUCCAAUGCUCAAGUUUAAAAGACUCCAGUCUUUAUCACAGAGUGCAAGGGACUCCAUGUGCACAUCAGACAUCCCCUCUGUUAGAAGGAGCUCUCCUGUAAGACAGAGUCCACUCAAAGUCCAAUUGAUCACCAGCCUCAGCCAAUCACCUCACAUGUUGAGUAAGAUUCCUGUCGUAGAUGUAAUGGGACAUGAUACCAAGAGUCCUUUAAGGACAAAAUGGCAGUUUUCAAGUUUCUCCUGCCCCUCACAAAAGCUCUCUGACCCAUCAAAGAUUCCAACUCCAAACUCCCAGAGAGUCUUUUCCCCACAGCGUCCCAGAGCCCACAGCAGACGCCACCUGUCCUUUGACUCCACCCAGCCCUUGGCCCCUCUUUCACCCCAACAAGUGGAUUCUGAGUUCAGACGGGUUUUCCAGAAGUUUGUUUGCCUGAACAAACAUGCUCCAUCUCAGACUCAUGCUUGCAGCCUCUGUGCUAGUAAUCAUUCGUCCUCAGUCCUGGCAGCUCUGGCCUUGUCCCCACACUGCUCCAACCAGAGGAAGCGCUACAGAGGGGUCGAACCGGGCACUGACCCCCAGUCCAAACGUUUAAGAGUGAAACGCAGCAUGCAUUCACCAGGAUCCAAACGGCUCGAAAAUGAAAACCUGCGCCGCUGUCUCUAUCCUGCUCGACCACCUCGUGGGACCUUACCUUGUUUCUCCAGUGAUAAUGGAAGGUCUCAUGCCUUCACCCCACGGAGAUUUUUAGACCACUUGAAACUCUACAAAAACUCCUAUGGAUAAUCACCUGCAGAUUGAGUGUUUGACCAGGGUGAGUGCCAACAAACCCCAUUAAAAAUAUAAAAUGCCAAUAGAGGCAUGGUUGUGAUAAGCAAAUCAUUUACGCCAUGCACUCUGUGUAAUAUUAAAACUAGCACUGCAUCAACGUCAAGAAUAGUGGUUA
rnacentral:lncRNA from 1 species